GUUUUUGGGACUCAGCUGAGAGUGUGGGUCCGUGAGGUGCGGGCUGGGCCGCCCUGGGGUGUGGGGAGAUAAAGGGAUCCACAUCCAAGUCACCUCUUUCCCGCUUUGGGGCUUGGUGCCUCCGCUGUCUCGUAGCUCCUCAUGCCGAUGGCCUUGCUCAUAUCAGGUGUCUGAAGGGGGCAGGUUCUGAGGAUCUGUGUCCUGAUGGCUUCUGAAGCUUCUACUCCAGAUUCAAAGGCAACAGUCUUCAGGAGAACCCAACAGUUCACAUCUUUAUUUGGUUAUGCCGCCUGGCUCAACAAGUCUUCCUCAAUGAAUUCCUGGGUUAUCAGGUGGUGAAACAGACAGAAGGAGAGAGCAUUGGAACAUCAGAGAAGGGUGUGGACUUCGAGUCCCAGGAGCAGGAUCCAAUAGAGAAGAACCAAGUGUGAUGUCGAGUCUACUAGACAGGUUCCUGGAACAAGAGUGUAAGACAGUUGUUGUUUUACUCUGAUGCUUUUGCAAAAGUGAUUCAUCUUCAGAGAGAUUCAUGGAGAAAACUCUGAAAAGUACUAUAGAAUACAGGUUUCUGAAAAGUUUAAGGACAUACUACUGACUGGGUAAGAAUUUCCAGAGCUCUAAUGGAAAAACUAGAUUCAAGUAGAACAAGAAUUAAUAACAUGGGUUGAAUGAACUGAUGGGGAUGAUUAUAAUUUUUAUGACUUUUUAUGUGAAACACUGCUGGUUCUUUAAUGUUUUUAUUUACAAGUUUAAAGAAACCUUUUUCUUUUAAGCUGUCUAUGAUGUAUAGCAAUUUGAUAAAGUAUACCUUUGUAAACAGAAUUGAAACAUUUCAUUUUUCUCCGUAUCUGAUCCCUCCAGAAUUAGGAAAUUUGUUGAGUGUUCUUAUUUUCAUGGCUAUUUAGUUAUUUGUAUAAAUUCAGUAAGAAUCUGUUUUUAGAAUACAAUUUGAAACAUUGUUUAUAUUAUGGCUUUGACAGAAUAUCAUAAUUCAGAAUAUGCAUAGAAUAUAGACCACACAACUUUAAGGAACUGAGGCUGACUUUAUGGAGCCAGUAAAGCCUCUUGGAAAACCAGCCUGUUACCUUGCUUGCUGCGUUCCCAGCAGCUUUCCCAGGUAAGGAAGGAAGGUCUCUUCCUGCAGGCCCGGAAACCUCAAGAAAUUGAGGAGACUUCAAGAAGAAAGGAAUUAACCCAGAUCUAUAGGUAUUGUAGGCAAAGUUUGAUGGCAAGUCUCAGGCUUGGCUUCUUAGCCUCAAGAGGCUUUUAAAUGUCCAACUGAGAUUCCUUAUAAAAAGUUCCAGCAAAGAAAAAUUUAAAAUAGCCUCUGUGGCCAGUCACUACUCUUGCUACAGUUAUGUAAACAUCAGGCCAAGUUUAAUGAGACUAGACCUGUUUUGCAAACAAAUUGGUCUUACUGUGAUUAUCUUUAAUAGAAGUGAGAGAGUGGUUGUAGAGAGAAGAAGAUGUUUAGUAAAAAAGUGUAAGACAUCCUUGUGGAUAUCAGGUUCUAUUCAUGUUCAUUAUCUUUGAGGUUUUGUUAUCUACCUGUAAAUUGGACUGGAUCCUGAAUUCUUCCAGUUUCCUCAGAUACUGGCUACAACUCUCCAAACUAACACUUCCAAUUUUCUCCCACCCUUCUGACCUGAAAUCAAUAAGAACAAAGACUUCCUUUCAACCUCCUUGAAAGGGAUCAUACCAUGUCCCCCUCACUAUCCAGAUAGCAGCCAAACUGCAGGCACUCGAAUCUUGACCCAAGAUUCAAGAGUCAAGUUUCAGGAAUCACUUCCAGACUCUUGAAACUGCAUAAGGGCUGGAGAUCUAAACUUAAAGUUGACUAGGGAGGUUCCUCAGCAUCUUGAGGCAUCUAGAGGUGGACAGCUCUCCCAAGAUCACAGAUCAAGAUCCUCGUCUCCAAUAUGAAACUCUUAUUCCUCUUGCCUUUUUGGUACUUGCUUUUUCUCUCUGUUAAUGCAUGGGAAGACAAUGCCUCUUAACUCUGGCAACUAUUGCUGAAUACAAGAAAAAGGCCAUAGUUAUACAACAGAGUCCCUAGACUUUUCUUGCUAAGAUGGCUUUAGAUAAGAGAUUUCCUUUAGAUUACUUAUUGGCUGAACAAGGAGCAGUCUGUGCCAUAACAAAUACCUAUUGUGGUACCUGGAUAAACACCUCUGGUAUUGUAGCCAAUACAAGGAAUUAACAAACAAGACACUUAGCUAAAACAAGUUGAUGCCUUUCCAGGUACAUUCUUUGAUUUAUUUGAUGCCAACUGGUUUGGUUCAUGGGGGCCCUAGCUAAAGAGUAUACAUUACUCUCUUGGUAUUAUCCUCCUGAUAGUCAUCAUUGUAGUCUCCCUGGUGCUCUGUGUUCUCUCAAAGGUCUUAAAUGCAUGUUCACAGCCAUCAGAUGGUCUCACUGUGCUUGAAGAAACAGGAACAAGAUGAACAAUGAGAUAAAUAGCAAAAGUAAUUCUUCUGUGGACCUGAUAUCAUAAUCUACAAGUUUUCAUGGUGAGACAGGAACAAUUUUGGUGGUGACUGAGAGUGCCACUCAUACCAAAAGGUGGAAUUGUUAAAGUAAUUAAACAAGGGGGCCAUUAGAGGUGGCCCUAAUGCCAUGGUGGCCCAUGUAAGCAAACCAAAAUCUAAGCCUGUAAAUGCCUCAAGGUUACAAAAUCAAAAACCAAGGACAACCAACCACAAACAGCCAAGUGAGCUUUAAGCUGUUGCCAGCCAAAUAAUUUCUUUUCCUUGUUUCCGUACCUUUCCUAAGUAACCCAUUCUCCUGGCUCCUGUCAGUGGAGCAUUCCUAUUCACUUCCCAUUUGGUGCUCAAUUAGAAUGAAUCUUUGUUCAAUUAAAUUUGUAAAAAUUUUAAUAUGCCUCAGUUUAUCUUUUAACAGAACUCAAGAAAAGAAGAAUAGUCUAUUAUCUUUUCCCAGAUAUUUACCAUCCUGUUCCUUUUCCUCUGCAAGUAUAGUCAUACUUCUGUCUAAAAAUAAAAUUUCAUCUUUCUUAUAGUGUUAUACCCUGCCUUUCUUCACU